rnacentral:misc_RNA from 1 species
ACGUAAAAGGAAAUUGAGCUCUAUUUUCUCAUAACAUGUAAUCCAUUUUUUUCGCGAUACACAAUCGGUAUUUUUGCAUCUCCACAGUGUGACACUAGGAGUUAUCAAUUUAAACUCUUAUCGAAUUUAGUAUUUCAUAACUUGAAUACCAUUUCGAACAUUUCAUUUUAUAUUUGAUUUGUUAAUGCUGUGAUUUGUUACUCGAAGACGAUCAUAGACAGAGCGCGACAGUUUUCCCACGCAACGAUUCACGUGCAGCGAUUGCAGUAGUUACAGACAAUGCGUAAGACGCGAAGUAGUAUAAGACAAGAGGCGUUAUUUCUGGCCAGUCUGGAAGACAAAUAAUUCGCUCGCCAGUGCGUGGCGAUAAUCAGCCAUCAAGAAAGUCAUCCACGUCACUCGAUGUAAGAUACAAACACACCGAAAGAUCACAUCUGCCACGAGACCGACCGAUAGAAGUUCGAAUUUCUGUCGAUUUCUCAAAACACGGGGACCCUGAGAGCAUCGACGCGGAGUUGACGGAAAAUACGAGGUUCCUGAUUUGACCUUCGAUUGGCCGCGCGUGCUCGAAGGGUCUAGAAGGUGAGGAAAUC